UCCUAUGUGUUUUAUAGCAAAACCAAAUUGAAGUUUCUUCAAAAGCCCAUUCGAACCAAAGAUAUGCAUAGGAAUACAGCUUAAAUUUUAUUAAUUUUUUAAAAUUAUUAUUAUAUAUAUUUUAUUAAUUAUUUUAUUUUUUUUAAUAUAAAAGGGCAUCAAUCAGUGUUAGAGUGUGCAGCAAUCGGUUGCAACUGAGCAACCGACCACAUCGUCAGUUGUAAGAAUCGAUAGGUCAGCUCAUUGACUGCAACAAUUAACCUCAUCUGUCGAUUGGUUCAAUGUCGAUUGGUUCAAUUGUCGAUCGAGAAACCGACCCUCACCCUUUUUAUUUUUUAUUUUGAGGGGUUAAAGAUUAUCUUAACCCCUUAAAUAACUUAAGCCGGCCAACCACCUUCCCUCGAUAAAAUUCCCCUCAUCUACAAUCUCCCCCUCUCUUAAACCCUAACUCACGUAAUUAGCUCACCCAUUCAUAGCGCAUCCAUUUGCUGCCAUCAGUGUCAUUUCAGACUACUGUCAGCCACCCAUUCAUGCCUUUCUUGGCAGCAACUAGCAAGUGAGACACCGACACCAACAUCAACAUUAUCAAUAUCUACAUCUCAUGUUACUACUUGUUCUACUGAAGCCAACAAAAUAUUUGAAGUUUUAAGCAAAGUGCAAAAGCAAAGGGAACCACCUCAAUUUACAUCAGUUGUGUUGGAUCACUUCACCAAAUUUGUUGAUGAGAAAGGUUUUUGCAUCAUUUGAGUUAUGUGAUAAUAGCAACAUACCUGAGCUUUUGAGGUUUGGAGAUGAGGUGCCUGAUGACUGAGAUUGUGCAAAUCUUAAAAAGAUUUCUCAUUUCUUGAGAGAAUUUUAUGAUUUGAUCUUGAGUGUUUCAAGUUCAUCUUACAUAACUAUUAAUUCUCUUCUAUAUUCCAUUUCUAUGUGUGUACCACUUUGAUUGAUUAGCAAAAUGGUGAUGAUGUUGAUUUACGAUAUAAAAGAAAAAUUUGACAAGUAUUAGGGAAUAUGGACAAAAUGAAUUUGGAGUUGUUCAUUACUCCUGUAGUUGAUCCGAGGAAAAAGCUUGCUUAUGUUAAAUUCACUUUGCUAGAAAUGUAUCUUCUUACACAAGCUUCAAUGAUAUUUUCUUUGGUGAUACAAACAAUGGAUAAGCUGUUCAAUUGUUAUAAAAAUAUGCUACAACCUCAAUCUCAUGUUGGUGAAAGUGGUCAAGAGUGUCCAACGUCCAUGGGACAAGGCACUAGUUGUGGUUGUAGUGAUAGUGU